GACAGCAGUUUUUACAGAUGUGUGGGUAUGGCAUGUGCGUAUGAAUGUAUACUUCUAGGCACCAGAAGGAGUAGCACUUAAAUUUCGUUGUGACAAUGUUUUACAAUGACAAAUAAAUGAUUCUGAUUCUGA